GGCCUAAAUUAGGCAUUUGUUCACCAUUUGAGACAACAAAAAUGGGAUGAAAAAAAUAAAAAAGGCGUUAAAAGGCGUGAAUAUCUGGUAAUGAGUAAUGUACACAAAAAUGGCUUGUUUCAGAUAUUAAUGGUGGCAACACGUGGGACUGGGUAUAGGAGCGAUUUCGCCUUUGAUGAUGUUUCUCUUGCAUGGUGUGCAGAUCCAAGUCCGGAAAUGAGCACACCAACAACUUUAAAACAAUCAACGGUAAAAUUAACAACAAGAACGACGCCACAACCCACAACGAAAACAAUAACAUCCAAACCUGAAACAACAAAAGCAACAACAACAAUCAAACCUACAACAACAACACAAACAACAACUACGCAAUCAAGUACAACAAAACCGGCUUUAAGUUUGAUUAUAUUUUAUUGUAUCAAUAUACACACAAUAUACAAUUUCAUAAUUUUACAAACAUAAUCAAGCGUACAUACAAAACGGUUUUGCCAAAAGUUCUAACAACAUUAUCGUGGGCCCUUCCCUGAUGUUAGUCAAAAAUAAGUUUAUACUAUUUUAUUAUCAAAUUCUAUCGAAUUUCAGUUUUAAGAAUUUUUCAGGAAGUAAUUUUAACAAAUGUUUUAUAAAUUAAUAUGUAAAUGUAAAUAAAUCGAAUGAGAAAAAUAAAAAAAAAAAUAGAAAUAUAGAUAAGCAUUUUAAUAUAAUAAUGAUUCUAAGAAUGAUUAAAUUAAGUUAUUUAAAUGUAUAAAUUAUUAGUUUCAAAAGUCAAUAGUGUUCCAUUUUAAGUUAUUUAUGGCUUUUGGAUUUAGUGUUUUCAGGUAUGAGCCCCUAAUGGACACUAUAAGGAACUAUCAAUUGACAAUAUAGGUCAGUUAUAUACGUUAAAAGACACAAGAAUGCAAAAUUUAAACAAAGUUUUUCGUAUGGUUUACGAGUUAUAGAGAUUUUUCUUAAGUAAAACUCGGCUAUUAGAAGGGCUCUUUUUCAGGAAUGAGAAACUCUAAAUAUUCUAUUUUAUAAUCAUUAUGAAAAAAAUGUUUUCCUAUAGAACAUUUUUAAGAAACAAAUAAUAGCAUUCAGCUAACAAAUGACCCAGCAAAUUUAUUGUUUUUACUCAAAAUGUUUGCAAUAUGUAUAUAAAUGUUACCCUACACCCACCCUACCCAACAUAUUUUAAGUAGUUGUUUGAUCAUUUUUCUACUUGGAGGGCCUAAUUCAAAAUAUUCCUAAAAUUUACUCAAAUCAGAGGCUGUUUUCAAAGUUUGCUAAAAUUUUCUUAAAAGUAUAUUGGUUGUGCUUGUCAAAUAUAAAAUACUUUUACCGUUUAGUUUUUAUUUUAUUAGACUUUGAAAAUAUCAGGUACCAUAUUUGAUAAUAAAUUUGGCACAAUUUAGCCAAUAAAUACCAAUAAUAAUUUCAUAAUAAAAAUGAAGCACUUUUUUCUUCUCAAGAGUGAUCUGAGAGACACAAAUAAUGUUCAAAGAAAAAAAAGAAAGAAUAAAACGUUGCCUCUUCUGGGGCUUGAACCCGCGCCCCUCAGUUACAAUGCAGUUGACAGUAGUUCUAGCCUAUUUGAAUACUCUUCAAAGUAGAGGAAAUGCAUUUGGUGGAUCAUACCUUAAGUAUCAAAUUUUUAGAAAAAGGAAUAAAUAAUGAAUGAAAUAAUAAAAUUAUUGUAAUAGUUACAAAAACUACAAAUAAAUAAAUACGAAGAUAUUUACCACACAGAACCCUGUUUAAACAAAAUUUACAGUUUCAGCAGUAAAAUGCCUUGAUUUUAUUCAAUUAAAUCUCUUGUUUGAUUUAAUAAAAGUCUGUACUUCUUUAAAAAGAUUUUCAUUUUGGAUUCAGAUCACUCUUCUAUUCCAAACAAAAAAUUUCGUAAACUCGGAGAAUGAAAAGAUAUUGUAUUUAAGAACAAUGUUCGUCUUUGUGCACUGUAUAAUUUGCAAUAAAAAAAAGUGUUUUGAAUUUCCAAUGUGUGCUCCACAUAUACAAGAUGGACUGGAAUCAAUGUGAUUAUCAUAUAAAGCCGAAUUAUGGUUACUGCAGUUGUUUCUAAAACGUGUAUGAUGUACAGAGAGAAGCGUUUACCUUUAAUGAAAAAUAAAGGGACCCAUGGGGAUUUAAAUAUUUCUUAAGGUUUGCUUUAAAAAAGGGAGGGAUUCUGUUAAAACAACAGAAGCACCAACGACACGGAUAUCAACAACUAGAGUUACAACACCAAAGCCUACAGAAACACCAUCAACUACACGAAAAGAGAUUGUAACAUCUGCACCACAACACACGAACAAUACCACAAAGUCAAAACAAACACUUAAACCUAUAAUCUGCCUGCGUCUCGCCAAGCAAAACACAUUCUUGGUGAGGUCCGAGCCGGGCCGUCUGUCGUUGUGUGGAUAGUACUUCGGUCUGCAAUACUUUGAGUAGUCACCGGCGCCACCUUCAGUUACUUUGUAUAUCAACGGAAGCAGAAACAGCAGCGCGAGAAACUGGACCCAUUUCGUUUCUCUUACCCCUGUACCCGCUGUAUACGGCGGUAAAUGGAUGCGAUGAAGCAACGCUUGUAUUGACCGUAAAUAAAUCGACGGCUUUAAACUAACCGUGAGUAACAGCCGGGUAUUCGAAAUUAUUGACAAUUUAGAUGAUUUUGAUCUUGAGAAUAUAAGUUGUAAUAACAGCUUCUUAAAUGCAGAAAUAACUAUUGAGGAAAAUUAAAAAAGUUGUAAAAAAAUAAAAAAAUAAUAAAAGCCUUUCUGUGUUUGAUAAUAUAUUAAAUGAAUAUCUAAAAACUGUAAAUAAUGAAUCUGUUUUAAAUGUUAUUCGUUUAUUGUUUAAUGUUAUUUUGGAUUCAGGUAUUUUUCCUGCUAUUUGGAGUCAGGGUUUUAUUAAUCCUAUAUAUAAAAAUAAGGGUGACAAAUCUGAUCCCAACAAUUACAGAGGGAUUACCAUUUUAAGUUGUUUUGGCAAAUUAUUUACCAAUAUACUAAAUAAGAGACUGAAUGAGUAUUUGGAAUGCCACAAUUUACUUAACGAAGAACAAGCUGGGUUCAGAUCACAAUAUGGUACCACUGAUCAUAUGUUUUCCUUAAAGAUGUUAAUUGAUUAUUAUUUAAGUUGUAAUAAAAAUCUGUACUGUGCAUUUGUUGACUAUAGGAAGGCAUUUGAUUCUGUUAAUCGACUUCAUUUAUGGCACAAACUUUUGUCACAUAAUAUUGAUGGUAAGUGUCUUGGUAUAAUCCACAAUAUGUACAGUAAGGCUAAAUCUUGUGUUAAAGUAAACUGUGAGUUGACUAGUUUCGUUAGUUUUACCGGUGUACGUCAAGGUGAAAAUCUUUCACCAUUUUUUUUAUCUUUUUAUAGGUAACCUGUCCUUUGUCGGUCAUUUUGUUAUCGUGUUGUUUUGAAUUCUCUAUUUUGAUUGGCUCAGGCCAGCCAGUGUACAGGUAGAAACGGUCAAAUCCAGGAACGAUUCAAAGUGCCUUUUAGUCAGCUUAUUGGCCGCUGUUUAAUCCGGAAGAUUGUUUUCAGUACUCACAGUAAAAAAUACGAAUAUCAAGUGUCCGCAGGUUCUUUGUCCGCUCCGCUCUUUUUGAUACGAAUAUGUUGGUUACAUUUAAGACGUUCUUAUAUUUUAAAAGAAAUUUAAUUAAUAUAUAGUUUAUUGUAAACAAGAAUCUAUAUGUCAACUCAUUCUGCUUACUUUUUUUAUAUGUUAUAUAAUGCUUCAAUUGUUUAUUAGGAAUAUACCUUUUCAUACAACUUUUUUUCUCACUUCCAUUUUAAUAUUGCUUAGACACGUGUAUGAAAAGAAAUUAAAAUACGUGUACUUGUUUAAAUGCAUUAACCCUUUACCCGCUAAAUAUCCUAAAUUGAUGUGUCCAUCUUUUUAUCUGGACAAAACCAUUCAUCAUUUUGGGGAAAUUUUCUGAAUAGGUACUGAUCAAUAGUGACCACGAUAAGACAGCACGAAUAUGUGGGUUGAUCGUGGUCUGCACUGAUCGCAUUGCCGCCAAAGGCUAAAGGCUAACAAAUAUCGGUUUUACAUGUUCUAGGUUUAAGCAUACCAUGAUGUCACCUUAUUAUUUACCAUAUUGGAUUCUAUGUUUAGAUUUUAUGAUAAAAAUGUUAAGUGAUAAGGUUUGUUCACAGAAAUUACACUGGAAUGCAUUGUUUGAUAUUGGAUCAGUUACUCUUAGUAUAAACGGGCAUCACUGUAUUUAAAAUAACAUUUGUAUUAGUAACAUUUUUCUCAAAUUACAUGAUGAUUUUAUUACUGAAAUUUAAUUUCACGGGAGGAACUGUUAUACGGAGGAUGGAGUUUUUCUAAUAACUUGUCAGGAGUUCUUCUGUGUUCUUGGAAAACGUUAAGUUUUCUGACGAAAUCCGUAUUGUAACGUUUUCCAGGAACUUCGAGACAUUUACCAGGAAAACUCCUAACAGGUUAUCAUAGAAGAACUUCAUUCUCCCAGGUCCUAACCGUGAAUUUGCAUUCUUCAGAAGAUAUUCACUAUAGGUUAGAGUUUAUAAGUACGUAUUUAUAAAAUUUAAUUGGUCAGGAGCGGCGCAACCAAUAAGGCUACAGUAUUUUUUUGCACCGUUCUUGAUCUAUUAAAUUUUGUAAAACUGCUUACUAAUAAACACUUACGUAUACUUGUUGUAUGACGUCAUCCUUGGCAGACUUUAGGUGUGUUAAGUUAAGAAAUACUAAAGUCUUGUGCAAUUUACUUUUUUUGCUACUUUGUAAAUAAAUGUGCACUAUUGUAUGUGAACACUCGCAUAAUGACUUUUGAUAUGUAAUUGAUCUUGUUAUUGUUUUGCAAAUCAAUUAUACAAACAUAUAUUUAAUUUAUAAAUAUCCCUAUUUAUAUCCCUUUUAUUUUAUAAAAUAUUCAUACAAUGUAUGUGGUCAAUAAAGAUAUUGAACUAAC